rnacentral:rRNA from 1 species
AGGGGUUUGAUCCUGGCUCAGAACGAACGCUGGCGGCGUGCCUAACACAUGCAAGUCGCACGAGAAAGCGGACUUCGGUCCGUGAGUAAAGUAGCAGACGGGUGAGUAACACGUGGGUAACUUGACCGGAGGUGGGGGAUAACCUUCCGAAAGGAAGGCUAAUACCGCAUGACAUCCCGGGUACUUCGGUACUCGGGAUCAAAGCUUGCCUCUACCUGUAAGCUAGCGCCACCGGAGAGACCCGCGUCCCAUUAGCUUGAUGGUGAGGUAACGGCUCACCAUGGCUACGAUGGGUAGCCGGCCUGAGAGGGUGAUCGGCCACACUGGAACUGAGACACGGUCCAGACUCCUACGGGAGGCAGCAGUGAGGAAUUUUGCGCAAUGGGCGAAAGCCUGACGCAGCGACGCCGCGUGGAGGACGAAGGCCUUCGGGUCGUAAACUCCUGUCAGGAGGGACGAAAGUCGUGUUGAUGAAUAAGCUUCGCGAUUGACGGUACCUCUGGAGGAAGCCCCGGCUAACUCCGUGCCAGCAGCCGCGGUAAUACGGGGGGGGCUAGCGUUGUUCGGAUUUAUUGGGCGUAAAGGGCGCGUAGGCGGUUCGGUAAGUCAACCGUGAAAUCCCUCGGCUCAACCGAGGAACUGCGAUUGAUACUGCCGGGCUUGAGUCCCGGAGAGGAUGGGCGGAAUUCCCAGUGUAGCGGUGAAAUGCC